UACGAAGGUGGCAAGCGUUGUUCGGAUUUACUGGGCGUACAGGGAGCGUAGGCGGUUGGGUAAGCCCUUCGUGAAAUCUCCGGGCCUAACCCGGAAAGUGCGGAGGGGACUGCUCGGCUAGAGGAUGGGAGAGGAGCGCGGAAUUCCCGGUGUAGCGGUGAAAUGCGUAGAGAUCGGGAGGAAGGCCGGCGGCGAAGGCGGCGCUCUGGAACAUUUCUGACGCUGAGGCUCGAAAGCGUGGGGAGCAAACAGG
rnacentral:rRNA from 1 species